AGCCAGCCCCAAGGGGAAAUCCAAGCAUGGGUUCCGCCCUCCUGCACCCCCAGAAGGCUCUCUGGAGUUCAUCUCCACACCAUCGGAGAGGAGACAUGAGCCCUUCCCCUGGAAUAGACACAGCUGUGGAUAAGUAAGCUUGGGAAGCAGGCCGAGCACAGCAUUGGAUCCACUCAGCACUGAACACUGUUGUGAUGGCGUCCCCACACUGAUGACAGGAAAGCAGCUUAAACAGGGAGGUGAACAACAAAAUGCUUCAGGAAGUCCCUGAAACUGAGCAGAUUCCCUAGACCCCUCCCUGCCAGAGUACAUAAUAAAAAGCCAAGAGCCCCUCUCAGAGGAAGUGAAGCUGAGCAGCAAAGAUGGCCCUGGGACUAGACCAGUAGCCUGGAAGAAGAGACUGAGACCAUCUGAGGCACCGGGAAAGGAUACUCUUCAACCUUUUGACCUUUCUGUAGGCUCUGCAGUUGCUCCAGGUUUCCAGCUUCGUGAGCUGUCAGCCAUGCUGAGGCGUGCUUUGGUGAUGCAACUGCCUUUGAGUCAUUUCUGCUCCUGGAAGCCAUCCCUCACCUAUAUUCUUGGGCUGUGUGGAGUUCAGGCCUUGCUCUUCCAGGCCCCCUGGGCAUUGCCUCAGCAAGGGUGAUGAGAGCUGGAGGAUUAAAAACUUGUUACCAAUGAGAACACUGAAAUAAAUUUCUUAGCUUAAGAGAAGACUUUGAAUGCAGAUAAGGCACGAUGAAACACAAUAGAUGCCUAAGAAUGGCAGAGAAAGGGCCAGCGCUCAGAAGGCAGAGGCAGAAGGAGUGCCACAAG